rnacentral:sRNA from 1 species
GGCAUGUACAUAGGCAUCUGUAGGUAAGUGUAGAUCAACAGGUCGGACAGGUUUACAUAUUCUAUAGAUGUCUUUGAAGCAAGAGUGGUUAGUAUAGAGAUGUAUGCAGGCAUCAUUCAUUAAAGAGCAAGACAAUAGAUUUUUAUUUAGUUUUCAAAUAGCAUAUGCUUAUCACAGCCCAAAUGCUAGAGUGUAUUUACAUUCUUUUCAAACCUGCAGUUUAUUUGAUUAUUGCAAAUUAAAUUAUUGAAACAAAGUAAGAAAAAAGGUUAAGGUCGUUUCUCUUUUGCAGGGUUGAAGUUUUGUUGGAACAAAAUCCAAAUUUCUUGGAAGAAUAUGACAACAAAGAGAAAAAGAAAGAAAAUGAGAAAAAGAAGGAAGAAAAGAGAAAGAAGAAGGAGGAAGAGAAGAAG